AGCCCAUUUCACACCCGGGGUGUUCUCCUUUGUUUAGGAGCAAAGCAGACAAAACCCACAUCAUCUGCCUGCUUGAAAAAAUAGAAAAUAUUCUCUUAAUCAACUGGUGUCUCAUGGCUCUAAGACCAGUGAUUUUACUCUGGGACAGUGACUUUCCUCAUGGAACAAGAUUUAAGGCACUCCCUAAGCUCAGAAUUUGGGGUUGAUGGGUGAGAAAGGAGCAGUGUCCAGGCCUCUCCAAACCUGGGAGCAGCCACUGCUUUCAGACUGAGCUGAAAGGCUUCACAUCCUGCAAAGCCUCGCUUGCCAGGAACAGCAGAACUCCACAGGCUGGCAAAGGUGAGCCUAAAACUUCAUCUCCACGAGAUGAAAAUCAAGAAGAACUCAUACAAUCUUUCCCUGGCAGAAACAACAGCAAAACAAGCAGCCCUUGGCAGGCAAGAGAUGCUCUGCAAUGCACUUUGGGAAGUGCCCUGCAGUUGUACUGACACGACCUGCUCAGCUCAAUAACUGCCACGGAACAGAGAGCAGGCAGUGGGAAGGUCAGGUGGAAAUUAGAUUCCAAAAGAGACACUGCACAUUUAAAAUUCUCCAGCCUCGGGAGGACAGAAUUGAGUUGUUUAUCCAGGAGGAAGCAUGUCUGGCUAACAUUGAGUUUGCAUUUAAUUGGCACUGAUGAACAAUAAAGUUGCAAACUCCUUU